AAACAAGAAGACCCAUUUGCAGAAAUCGUAAAGAAUGCAUUAGUUUUAUUGCGUCAUUAGGUUUCUAGUUUUAUCGAGCCUCCAACUCGUCAGUUUUGGAAGAAGUAGCCAUUAAUUGAAUUGAACCAUCAAUGGCUGAAUUCUAGUUUCUUCGUUUCCAUUUUCUUAUGCUUUAUAGGAACUGAGGAUAUAUUACCAUGCACAGGACCAUCACUUUCACAGGGAAUUUUGAAGAGGGAGAUUAAAUUGGGUACCUUUUUUGGUACAUGUUAGAGAGAUUAAUUUGGGAAUCCUUGUGGCUCUCUCUCUCUCUUUCUUCCUUGUGUCACCUGUUAAUUGUUUUCUCUCUCUCCUUUUUGUUGCCCGUUAUUGCUCUCUCUUUCUCGAGUUAUAGAGAGAGAUUAAUUUGGGAAUCUUUGGG
rnacentral:lncRNA from 1 species